rnacentral:rRNA from 1 species
GGUACAUCGGUGACAGGUGGUGCAUGGUUGUCGUCAGCUCGUGUCGUGAGAUGUUGGGUUAAGUCCCGCAACGAGCGCAACCCCUAUUGUUAGUUGCCAUCAUUCAGUUGGGCACUCUAGCGAGACUGCCGGUAAUAAACCGGAGGAAGGUGGGAUGACGUCAAAUCAUCAUGCCCCUUAUGUUCUGGGCUACACACGUGCUACAAUGGCCGGUACAGACGGACGCAAAGCCGCGAGGUGGAGCAAAUCCUAAAAAGCCGGUCUCAGUUCGGAUUGCAGGCUGCAAUUCGCCUGCAUGAAGUCGGAAUCGCUAGUAAUCGCAGGUCAGCAUACUGCGGUGAAUACGUUCCCGGGCCUU